GGGUUCUGGCCCCGUACUUCCUGGUUGACACUUAUGAUUCCAAAAAGGAUUCAAGUCAGCUUACAGUGCUUCUGAAAUACAGCAAGGUGAAAUAAUUAUAAAAGGUUAUGGAAAGGAUUACAUGAAUACGGAAAGUCUUACUGAGAUUUGUGCCCGGAUGCAAUUCCCGGAGAAAUAGUUGAUCCUAAAUAAUGGCAGCAGGGAUGACCCAGCCGACACCCGGCCUUCUCCUCUGCAAGUCCUUCCCCGCCGUCCACCUCAGCUGGCCCCUCCCUCAGCUCAACCUGGACCAGCCGUGACCUGAAACGGCUCCUCCUGCAAGAGCAGGAAUUGGAGCAUCUCCUUCCAUCUCGCUCAUCUAACCGUUCCUGCUGCAACGAUCCUUGACUCCCACUGGACCCUUUGCUUGCACCAGUCGACUUUCAUCCCCUUUCUUCACUUCCUUCUUGUGUAGUUUAGAUUCUAAGCCAGAGGAAUUGGGGAAAGUGCCCAGGGAGCCCCCGCAGCCUCCCAGGCAGUCAGUGCCACCACUGUCCGCAGUGUCUGGACGCUGGUGGACUGUGUCCACACGUGCCCGUGGCCUCUGGGGGCUGGGGAAGGGGCGGGGUGCUCCUGAUCCGCUCUGCUGGCUCAGCUAGGAGGCUUGACCAGGUAGAAAACAUAGCGACUUCAGCGAAGAACAUUCUCUGCUGAUAGGUUGGGUGUGUGUCUAUCAGACGCUGCUGUCUUACUAGUUGGGAGAUGGGACAAUAUAAUCGGCUCAUAUUUCUGAUAUCCCUGGCUAGCCAACUGUGCUGUUUAUGACUCCAGCCACGAGGACUGAAAGAUAGAAAAAAGCAUCUUGAAAAUAAUUGUACAGCUUCACAGUUUAUUGGUAAACUUGACUUCCCAUCACCAACUGCAGAGUUGCAAUGAGUUUUAUUUCCACCCAAUCUUUAUUACUCAAAAGAAAAGUCUACCCUCAAAUCUCUAUAGUGUUUGUAAUUAGACCCAUUUCUCUCAACAUCCAAGAAUUGAAAGAUACCAAAGAAAGGUACCCGUUUACAACACAAAUCAUAAAUGAAUUAAAUAGAGAUACAACCACAUUCAAAGAGAAUGUAUGUGUAUAUGAGGUGGGUUUCUCAUCAGGUAAAUCCUUAGAGAUACAGUCGCUGACUAUUACCAGUAAGUCAUAUGUUUAACUCUCAACUAUCCCAAGGGAGGCUGAUGAAUAUUACAUCCAAGUCCUCUGAGUAGGACAUCACUAUUUGUAAUCGCAGUGGAGGCAGCAGUGCAGGGGCUAAAACGCAUAGAAUGAGCAGGCUGGCCAGGUCAGUGAACCGCGACCAGAGGAGAGACCCUG